UAGUGGCGAACGGGUGAGUAACACGUGGGCAAUCUGCCCUGCACUCUGGGACAAGCCCUGGAAACGGGGUCUAAUACCGGAUACGAGCCUCCCGGGCAUCUGGGAGGUUGGAAAGCUCCGGCGGUGCAGGAUGAGCCCGCGGCCUAUCAGCUUGUUGGUGAGGUAACGGCUCACCAAGGCGACGACGGGUAGCCGGCCUGAGAGGGCGACCGGCCACACUGGGACUGAGACACGGCCCAGACUCCUACGGGAGGCAGCAGUGGGGAAUAUUGCACAAUGGGCGAAAGCCUGAUGCAGCGACGCCGCGUGAGGGAUGACGGCCUUCGGGUUGUAAACCUCUUUCAGCAGGGAAGAAGCGAAAGUGACGGUACCUGCAGAAGAAGCGCCGGCUAACUACGUGCCAGCAGCCGCGGUAAUACGUAGGGCGCAAGCGUUGUCCGGAUUUAUUGGGCGUAAAGAGCUCGUAGGCGGCUUGUCGCGUCGAUUGUGAAAGCCCGGGGCUUAACUCCGGUCUGCAGUCGAUACGGGCAGGCUAGAGUGUGGNAGGGGAGAUCGGAAUCCU
rnacentral:rRNA from 1 species